GGGGUUGUGGCUCAAUGGUAGAGCACUUGCCUCACAUGUGUGAGGCACUGUGUUCGAUCCUCAGCACCACA
rnacentral:tRNA from 1 species